rnacentral:rRNA from 1 species
GACAUUGUCGAAACUGC